GACGAACGCUGGCGGCGUGCUUAACACAUGCAAGUCGAACGGAAAGGCCCUGCUUUUGUGGGGUGCUCGAGUGGCGAACGGGUGUGUAACACGUGAGUAACCUGCCCUUGACUUUGGGACAACUUCAGGAAACUGGGGCUAAUACCUGAUACGAGCUCCUGCUGCUUGGUGGGGGUUGGAAAGUUUCGGCGGUUGUGGAUGUACUCGGGGCUUAUCAGCUAGUGGGUUGGGUAGUGGCUUACCACGGCUUUGACAGGUAGUCGGCCUGGGAGGGUAGACGGCGACAAUGGGACAGAGGUACGGCCCAGAGUCCAACGGGCGGCAACAGUGGAAAGUAUUGCACACUGGGGGCAAGCCUGUUGUGGCGACGCCGCGUGCGGUAUGACAGCUUACGGGUUGGAAACCGCUGUCUGCUGUGACGAAGCGUGAGUGACGGUAAUGGGUGAAAAAGCACCGGCUAACUACGUG
rnacentral:rRNA from 1 species